rnacentral:sRNA from 12 species
ACGCCUAAUGGUAAAACUAUAAAAAUUUCAUCAUAACAACCAAAAAGAAUUAUAAGAGAUGAAUUAUGAUAGUUU